rnacentral:tRNA from 1 species
GGCCUAGUAGCUCAGUUGGCUAGAGUGUUGGCUGUACUACAGGCUUCACCUUGUUGUUGUGGGUUCAAAUCCCACCGAGGUCG